AACACGACUGUACUAUAAAUGCCAGCUCGGGAGAUAUGUCGCCUGGAAUACUGGGUCUCUCUUGCUGCAUUUUCAGACCACAUCAACAAAUGGAGUAAUCGGGCGUCUGACCCAUAAUGUUGCAUUAUGUGCGAUACUAAUCAAAAUAAACAAAAUAGAAAGAAAUGAAACUUUUGGCACCUUGAAAGCAGCCGCAUACGCAGCUUGCAGAUUGGACAUCCCUUCAAAUGGCAUUCGGUUGGUCAACAGCUCCCAUAAGACAAUUCCAAAGCUGUAUACGUCAACUUUGUUGUUGUAAUGCUUUUUCUCUCCCUGGCGCAAUGUAACAGUGCUAUACAACUGCAAAGACAGACAUGAUGGCCAAUAAAAUUUCAUCUCCCAGAAAGUAACUGAGCAAGAGAAGCUGCAUUCACAAGCCAAUGAACAAUAAAGUAAUCCUCAGAAAACAUUUCAACAAGCCAUUAAACAGCAAGAUUAUACAUCAUAUUGAAUAUUGGGUACAACAGAUUUGGAGAAGAGGGAGAGACGUGUUACUUUAAAGAUGCAAAAGAUUCCUACAACUUUGGAUCAUUUCUACAAACUUAAAGCCCCAAUUUGUGUUCUUUUUAUAUUAUGCAUUUUGCAAAAACGUCAUCUCUGUUGGAUAAUUUAGAAAAUCUCCAUUUUAAAAUGCUUACUAGUUACAGAUCUCUGAGAUAACAAUAGUUUGACCUUCAUAUAUACAGAAGUUUACAGUGCCAUUCCAUGAGUAUCAAUGAAGCACGACGUAGCACAUUUUACUUGUAA